rnacentral:snRNA from 2 species
AUACCUUUCUCGGCCUUUUGGCUAAGAUCAAGUGUAGUAUCUGUUCUUAUCAGUUUAAUAUCUGAUAUGUAGGUCAUUGACUCAUACGAUAUUAACUUAAUUUUUUAAGGGGGAAGGUCCAUUAGAGUAGCUUGCUACUUGGGCCUUCAUACGUCGUUUAGGUGUUGCACUAUAGCCUUGGCCUGGCGCACCCCAC